ACAACCUGCCCUUAGGUUGGGUAUAAACCCGGGAAACUGGGUAUAAUACCCGAUAGGUCUCGAUUGCUGGAAUGCAUCGAGAUUUAAAGCUCCGGCGCCUAAGGAUGGGUCUGCGGCCUAUCAGGUAGUAGUGGGUGUAGCGUACCUACUAGCCUACGACGGGUACGGGUUGUGAGAGCAAGAGCCCGGAGAUGGAUUCUGAGACACGAAUCCAGGCCCUACGGGGUGCAGCAGGCGCGAAAACUUUACAAUGCUGGCAACAGCGAUAAGGGAACCUCGAGUGCCAGGUUACAAAUCUGGCUGUCGAGAUGCCUAAAAAGCAUUUCAUAGCAAGGGCCGGGCAAGACCGGUGCCAGCCGCCGCGGUAACACCAGCGGCUCGAGUGGUAACCGUUAUUAUUGGGUCUAAAGGGUCUGUAGCCGGCCGGAUAAGUCUCUUGAGAAAUCUGGCAGCUUAACUGUCAGGCUUUCAGGAGAUACUGUCUGGCUCGAGGCCGGGAGAGGUGAGAGGUACUUCAGGGGUAGGGGUGAAAUCUUGUAAUCCUUGAAGGACCACCAGUGGCGAAGGCGUCUCACCAGAACGGACCUGACGGCAAGGGACGAAAGCUAGGGGCACGAACCGGAUUAGAUACCCGGGUAGUCCUAGCCGUAAACGAUACUCGCUAGGUGUCGGCCACGGUGCGACCGUUGUCGGUGCCGUAGGGAAGCCGUGAAGCGAGCCACCUGGGAAGUACGGCCGCAAGGCUGAAACUUAAAGGAAUUGGCGGGGGAGCACCACAACGGGUGGAGCUUGCGG
rnacentral:rRNA from 1 species